GGAGGGUAUCCGAAUUGGUGAGGAGCCAGACUCGAAAUCUGGUGCCGGCUCUGCCGGUUGCGGGUUCGAGUCCCGCACCCUCCG
rnacentral:tRNA from 1 species